UACGGAGGUCGCAAGCGUUGUUCGGAUUCAUUGGGCGUAAAGGGUGCGUAGGCGGCGCGGUAAGUCGGGUGUGAAAUUUCGAGGCUUAACUUCGAAACUGCAUUCGAUACUGCCGUGCUAGAGGACUGGAGAGGAGACUGGAAUUUACGGUGUAGCGGUGAAAUGCGUAGAUAUCGUAAGGAAGACCAGUGGCGAAGGCGGGUCUCUGGACAGUUCCUGACGCUGAGGCACGAAGGCCAGGGGAGCAAACGGG
rnacentral:rRNA from 1 species